GACGAACGCUGGCGGCGUGCUUAACACAUGCAAGUCGAACGGAAAGGCCCUGCUUUUGUGGGGUGCUCGAGUGGCGAACGGGUGAGUAACACGUGAGUAACCUGCCCUUGACUUUGGGAUAACUUCAGGAAACUGGGGCUAAUACCGGAUAGGAGCUCCUGCUGCAUGGUGGGGGUUGGAAAGUUUCGGCGGUUGGGGAUGGACUCGCGGCUUAUCAGCUUGUUGGUGGGGUAGUGGCUUACCAAGGCUUUGACGGGUAGCAGGCCUGAGAGGGUGACCGGCCACAUUGGGACUGAGAUACGGCCCAGACUCCUACGGGAGGCAGCAGUGGGGAAUAUUGCACAAUGGGCAGAAGCCUGAUGCAGCAACGCCGCGUGCGGGAUGACGGCCUUCGGGUUGUAAACCGCUUUCGCCUGUGACGAAGCGUGAGUGACGGUAAUGGGUAAAGAAGCACCGGCUAACUACGUG
rnacentral:rRNA from 1 species